rnacentral:misc_RNA from 1 species
AAAGGCCGGCCAAUCGAUUAUCGAUUGGCCGGCCACAAAAAAAGAAACCCGGCGCAAAUGCGCCGGGUUUCUU